UAAACAAAGCACAGUACAAAUACAACACUGUCCGCCAGAGAACUACAAGCGAAGGCUCAAAACUCCAAGGACUUGGCGGUGCUCCACAUCAACCUAGAGGAGCCUGUCCUAUAAUCGAUACCCCCCGAUUCACCUCACCCCCCUUUGAAACUCAGCCUAUAUACCGCCGUCGUCAGCCUACCUUAUGAAAGAAGAAAAGUACGCAAAAUAGUCAUUAACUAAAACGUCAGGUCAAGGUGUAGCACAUAGGGCGGAAGAGAUGGGCUACACUUCUUCUUAACCCAKAGAGCACGAACAGCACAAUGAAACACUGCUUAAAGGUGGAUUUAGUAGUAAGACAGACAAGAGUGCCUGUCUUAAACAAGCCCUGGAGCGCGCACACACCGCCCGU
rnacentral:rRNA from 1 species